AGCGAACGCUGGCGGCAGGCCUAACACAUGCAAGUCGAACGAACUCUUCGGAGUUAGUGGCGGACGGGUGAGUAACACGUGGGAACGUGCCUUUUGGUUCGGAAUAACUCAGGGAAACUUGUGCUAAUACCGAAUGUGCCCUUCGGGGGAAAGAUUUAUCGCCAUUAGGGCGGCCCGCGUCUGAUUAGCUAGUUGGUGAGGUAACGGCUCACCAAGGCGACGAUCAGUAGCUGGUCUGAGAGGAUGACCAGCCACACUGGGACUGAGACACGGCCCAGACUCCUACGGGAAGCAGCAGUGGGGAAUCUUGCGCAAUGGGCGAAAGCCUGACGCAGCCAUGCCGCGUGAAUGAUGAAGGUCUUAGGAUUGUAAAAUUCUUUCACCGGGGACGAUAAUGACGGUACCCGGAGAAGAAGCCCCGGCUAACUUCGUG
rnacentral:rRNA from 1 species